rnacentral:misc_RNA from 1 species
CUGAGUUUCUAACUCUCCAAACCAUGUGAACUUACCACUGUUGCCUCGGUGGAUGGUGCUCUCUCGGGAGUGCUGCCGCCGGCGGACAAACCAAGCUCUUUGUAUAUCAUGUCAUUCUGAAUCAAAACUAAGAAAUAAGUUA